UACGAAGGGGGCUAGCGUUGUUCGGAUUUACUGGGCGUAAAGCGCACGUAGGCGGAUUCUUAAGUCAGGGGUGAAAUCCCGAGGCUCAACCUCGGAACUGCCUUUGAUACUGGGGAUCUCGAGUUCGGGAGAGGUGAGUGGAAUUGCGAGUGUAGAGGUGAAAUUCGUAGAUAUUCGCAAGAACACCAGUGGCGAAGGCGGCUCACUGGCCCGAUACUGACGCUGAGGAGCGAAAGCGUGGGGAGCGAACAGG
rnacentral:rRNA from 1 species